AGAUGCCCAGGUGCUGAGAAAAUGCUGCGGGCACGAAGAAAACCCGGAGCCCGGCUGCUCGAAGCAACCCGCCCCCUUCGCCACCUGAGCCCAAGCACUCCGGCACCGCUUGCUCUAACCAGCUGGGGUCAGCCGCUCUCAGAUUGCACCAUUUUCUUCUCAGCCCACCCGGGUGCCGAGACCAGGGAUCCCUCGGCCUCGUGUGGAGGAUCCCGUCCCGGCCUCAGCGUCCCGCGAUCCGGCUCCCCGCACUGGGGUGAAUGGGGCGGGGGGGUAGAGGGGUGGGGGAGCCUGGGCGCCUCGGCUUCACCUCCCUACCUCCUCGAGCUGCAGAGGCUUCCGGGCCUCUCAGGCUCAGGCGACGCCCGAGAGGAGCGAGAGCCCAAGCUGCGCCCCAGGGGCUCCAGAAAUCGCAUUGCCCGGGUGUGGGCGCCCGAGAAA
rnacentral:lncRNA from 1 species